rnacentral:rRNA from 1 species
GGACUACUAGGGUAUCUAAUCCUGUUUGCUCCCCACGCUUUCGCUCAUGAGCGUCAGUACCGGGCCAGUGAGCCGCCUUCGCCACUGGUGUUCUUCCUAAUAUCUACGAAUUUCACCUCUACACUAGGAAUUCCACUCACCUCUCCCGGACUCUAGACUGACAGUAUCGAAGGCAAUUCCGAGGUUGAGCCCCGGGAUUUCACCCCCGACUUAUCGAUCCGCCUGCGAGCGCUUUACGCCCAGUAAUUCCGAACAACGCUAGCCCCCUUCGUAUUACCGCGGCGGCUGGCAC